CAGUAGCCACGGUAAUACGAAGGGUGCAAGCGUUAAUCGGAAUUACUGGGCGUAGAGCGUGCGUAGGCGGUGAGUUAAGUCUGCUGUGAAAUCCCCGGGCUCAACCUGGGAAUGGCAGUGGAUACUGGCUCGCUAGAGUGUGUCAGAGGAUGGUGGAAUUCCCGGUGUAGCGGUGAAAUGCGUAGAGAUCGGGAGGAACAUCAGUGGCGAAGGCGGCCAUCUGGGACAACACUGACGCUGAGGCACGAAAGCGUGGGGAGCAAACAGGAUUAGAUACCCGAGUAGUCCCUGUCUCUUAUAC
rnacentral:rRNA from 1 species